AGAGUUUGAUCCUGGCUCAGAACGAACGCUGGCGGCAGGCUUAACACAUGCAAGUCGAACGCGUGUAGCAAUACACGAGUGGCGCACGGGUGAGUAACGCGUGGAUAUCUGCCUUUUGGUUCGGAAUAACCCCGGGAAACUGGGGCUAAUACCGGAUGGUUCCUACGGGAUAAAGAUUUAUCGCCAAAAGAUGAGUCCGCGUACGAUUAGCUAGUUGGUGAGGUAAUGGCUCACCAAGGCGACGAUCGUUAGCUGGUCUGAGAGGACGAUCAGCCACACUGGGACUGAGACACGGCCCAGACUCCUACGGGAGGCAGCAGUGGGGAAUAUUGGACAAUGGGGGCAACCCUGAUCCAGCCAUGCCGCGUGAGUGAUGAAGGCCUUCGGGUUGUAAAGCUCUUUUGGCGGGGACGAUGAUGACGGUACCCGCAGAAUAAGCCCCGGCUAACUUCGUGCCAGCAGCCGCGGUAAGACGAAGGGGGCUAGCGUUGUUCGGAAUUACUGGGCGUAAAGCGAGUGUAGGUGGUUGUCAUAGUCAGGUGUGAAAGCCUUGAGCUCAACUCAAGAAAUGCACUUGAUACUGGAUGACUAGAGGACCGGAGAGGAUAGUGGAAUUCCCAGUGUAGUGGUGAAAUACGUAGAGAUUGGGAAGAACACCAGUGGCGAAGGCGGCUAUCUGGACGGUUUCUGACACUAAGACUCGAAAGCGUGGGGAGCAAACAGGAUUAGAUACCCUAGUAGUCC
rnacentral:rRNA from 1 species